rnacentral:rRNA from 1 species
CCUACGGGAGGCAGCAGUGAGGAAUAUUGGUCAAUGGACGAGAGUCUGAACCAGCCAAGUCGCGUGAAGGAUGACUGCCCUAUGGGUUGUAAACUUCUUUUAUAUGGGAAUAAAAUGUUCCACGUGUGGGAUUUUGUAUGUACCAUAUGAAUAAGGAUCGGCUAACUCCGUGCCAGCAGCCGCGGUAAUACGGAGGAUCCGAGCGUUAUCCGGAUUUAUUGGGUUUAAAGGGAGCGUAGGUGGAUUGAUAAGUCAGUUGUGAAAGUUUGCGGCUCAACCGGAAAAUUGCAGUUGAAACUGGCAGUCUAGAGUACAGUAGAGGUGGGCGGAAUGCGUGGUGUAGCGGUGAAAUGCUUAGAUAUCACGAAGAACUCCGAUUGCGAAGGCAGCUCACUGGACUGCAACUGACACUGAGGCUCGAAAGUGUGGGUAUCAAACAGGAUUAGAUACCCUAGUAGUC